rnacentral:rRNA from 1 species
AGUGCAUGUGGUGGAUGCCUUGGCAGUCAGAGGCGAUGAAAGACGUGAUAGCCUGCGAAAAGCUCCGGGGAGGCGGCAAAUAUCCUUUGAUCCGGAGAUGUCUGAAUGGGGGAACCCACCUACUUUAAGGUAGGUAUUGCAACAUGAAUACAUAGUGUUGCAAGGCGAACGAGGGGAAGUGAAACAUCUCAGUACCCUUAGGAAAAGAAAUCAAUUGAGAUUCCUCAGUAGCGGCGAGCGAACGGGGAUCAGCCCAUUAAGUUAUGUGUGUUUUAGUGGAACGCUCUGGGAAGUGCGAACGUAGAGGGUGAUAUUCCCGUACACGAAAGGGCACACAUAAUGAUGACGAGUAGGGCGAGGCACGUGGAAACCUUGUCUGAAUAUGGGGGGACCAUCCUCCAAGGCUAAAUACUCCUGACUGACCGAUAGUGAACCAGUACCGUGAGGGAAAGGCGAAAAGAACCCCUGUGAGGGGAGUGAAAUAGAUCCUGAAACCGCAUGCAUACAAGCAGUGGGAGCACCUUCGUGGUGUGACUGCGUACCUUUUGUAUAAUGGGUCAGCGACUUAUAUUCAGUAGCGAGGUUAACCGUAUAGGGGAGCCGUAGAGAAAUCGAGUCUUAAUAGGGCGUUUAGUUGCUGGGUAUAGACCGAAACCAGGCGAUCUAUCCAUGAGCAGGUUGAAGGUUGGGUAACACUAACUGGAGGACCGAACCCACUGUCGUUGAAAAGCCAGGGGAUGACUUGUGGAUAGGGGUGAAAGGCUAAUCAAGCCUGGUGAUAGCUGGUUCUCCCCGAAAGCUAUUUAGGUAGCGCCUCGGACGAAUACCAUAGGGGGUAGAGCACUGUUUCGGCUAGGGGGUCAUCCCGACUUACCAAACCGAUGCAAACUCCGAAUACCUAUGAGUACUAUCCGGGAGACAGACUGCGGGUGCUAACGUCCGUAGUCAAGAGGAAAACAAUCCAGACCGCCAGCUAAGGCCCCAAAAUCAUAGUUAAGUGGGAAACGAUGUGGGAAGGCAUAGACAGCUAGGAGGUUGGCUUAGAAGCAGCCACCCUUUAAAGAAAGCGUAAUAGCUCACUAGUCGAGUCGGCCUGCGCGGAAGAUGUAACGGGGCUAAAACUAUGUGCCGAAGCUGCGGAUGUAUACUUUGUAUACGUGGUAGGGGAGCGUUCUGUAAGCCGAUGAAGGUGUGUUGAGAAGCAUGCUGGAGGUAUCAGAAGUGCGAAUGCUGACGUGAGUAACGACAAAACGGGUGAAAAACCCGUUCGCCGAAAGACCAAGGGUUCCAGUCCAACGUUAAUCGGGGCUGGGUGAGUCGACCCCUAAGGCGAGGCCGAAAGGCGUAGUCGAUGGGAAAAUGGUUAAUAUUCCAUUACUUCUGUGUAAUGCGAUGAGAGGACGGAGAAGGCUAAAUCAGCCUGGCGUUGGUUGUCCAGGUGAAAGGAUGUAGGCAUGUAUCUUAGGCAAAUCCGGGGUACUCUAUGCUGAGAUCUGAUAGCAAGCUGUACUUGUACAGCGAAGUGGUUGAUGCCAUGCUUCCAGGAAAAGUCUCUAAGCUUCAGUUACACAGGAAUCGUACCCGAAACCGACACAGGUGGUCAGGUCGAGUAGACCAAGGCGCUUGAGAGAACUCUGCUGAAGGAACUAGGCAAAAUGGUACCGUAACUUCGGGAGAAGGUACGCUGUUGUUGGUGAUGGAACUCGCUUCCUGAGCUGACGACAGCCGCAGAAACCAGGCCGCUGCAACUGUUUAUUAAAAACAUAGCACUCUGCAAACACGAAAGUGGACGUAUAGGGUGUGAUGCCUGCCCGGUGCUGGAAGGUUAAUUGAUGGGGUUAGCGUAAGCGAAGCUCUUGAUCGAAGCCCCAGUAAACGGCGGCCGUAACUAUAACGGUCCUAAGGUAGCGAAAUUCCUUGUCGGGUAAGUUCCGACCUGCACGAAUGGCAUAAUGAUGGCGGCGCUGUCUCCAGCAGAGGCUCAGUGAAAUCGAAAUCGCUGUGAAGAUGCAGUGUACCCGCGGCUAGACGGAAAGACCCCGUGAACCUUUACUGCAGCUUGACACUGAACUUUGACCUUACUUGUGUAGGAUAGGUGGGAGGCUUUGAAGCUGGAACGCUAGUUCCAGUGGAGCCGUCCUUGAAAUACCACCCUGGUAAUGUUGAGGUUCUAACUCUGUCCCGUGAUCCGGGACGAGGACCGUGUCUGGUGGGUAGUUUGACUGGGGCGGUCUCCUCCUAAAGAGUAACGGAGGAGUACGAAGGUGCGCUCAGCGUGGUCGGAAAUCACGCGUAGAGUAUAAAGGCAAAAGCGCGCUUAACUGCGAGACCCACAAGUCGAGCAGGUACGAAAGUAGGUCUUAGUGAUCCGGUGGUUCUGUAUGGAAGGGCCAUCGCUCAACGGAUAAAAGGUACUCUGGGGAUAACAGGCUGAUACCGCCCAAGAGUUCAUAUCGACGGCGGUGUUUGGCACCUCGAUGUCGGCUCAUCUCAUCCUGGGGCUGAAGCAGGUCCCAAGGGUAUGGCUGUUCGCCAUUUAAAGAGGUACGCGAGCUGGGUUUAGAACGUCGUGAGACAGUUCGGUCCCUAUCUACCGUGGGCGCUGGAAAUUUGAGAGGAUCUGCUCCUAGUACGAGAGGACCAGAGUGGACGAACCUCUGGUGUACCGGUUGUGACGCCAGUCGCAUCGCCGGGUAGCUAUGUUCGGAAGGGAUAACCGCUGAAAGCAUCUAAGCGGGAAGCCUACCUCAAGAUAAGAUUUCCCUAGGACUUUAUGUCCUCUAAAGAGCCGUUCGAGACUAGGACGUUGAUAGGUUGGAUGUGGAAGCAUAGUGAUAUGUGAAGCUGACCAAUACUAAUUGCUCGUGAGGCUUGACU